GUAGGUGAACCUGCGGAAGGAUCAUCAACAAAUCUAUAAUGUAUGUGUGUGUUGGUGUGUUGUGUAGUAAUGCACGCAUGCCACAUACACGUAUAUAAACCAAUGUGAAUUGUACACAUACUUGUAUGAGUACAUUUGUUCUAUAGUGUGUGCAUAAACUUCCAUAGCAAUAUGGUGUGAAAGCUAUCUAUAGAAAUUAUAAACGAGUCUUAUAAGAGUCAGAAUAUAAAAACUAAAAAUUUUAUAUACA
rnacentral:misc_RNA from 1 species